GUACACUCCUGCGGGAGGCAGCAGUGGGGAAUAUUGGACAAUGGGCGCAAGCCUGAUCCAGCCAUGCCGCGUGAGUGAUGAAGGCCCUAGGGUUGUAAAGCUCUUUCACCGGUGAAGAUAAUGACGGUAACCGGAGAAGAAGCCCCGGCUAACUUCGUGCCAGCAGCCGCGGUAAUACGAAGGGGGCUAGCGUUGUUCGGAUUUACUGGGCGUAAAGCGCACGUAGGCGGACUAUUAAGUCAGGGGUGAAAUCCCGGGGCUCAACCCCGGAACUGCCUUUGAUACUGGUAGUCUUGAGUUCGAGAGAGGUGAGUGGAAUUCCGAGUGUAGAGGUGAAAUUCGUAGAUAUUCGGAGGAACACCAGUGGCGAAGGCGGCUCACUGGCUCGAUACUGACGCUGAGGUGCGAAAGCGUGGGGAGCAAACAGGAUUAGAUACCCUUGUAGUCCCAUGA
rnacentral:rRNA from 1 species